rnacentral:misc_RNA from 1 species
GUGAUUAAAUCGAGCGUGUCUUCAUUGACCGCUCACCCUUCUCACCAUCCACAUACACCUGUGCACUGUUUAGCCUGAGCCGGUUUUCCGGUCCAGGUAUCAUUUCAUACAAAACUCUAGUCCUUAUGAAUGUAAACGUUUUAAAUAACAUAAUAAAACUUUCAACAACGGAUCUCUUGGUUCUCCCAUCGAUGAAGAACGCAGCGAAAUGCGAUAAGUAAUGUGAAUUGCAGAAUUCAGUGAAUCAUCGAAUCUUUGAACGCACCUUGCGCUCCUUGGUAUUCCGAAGAGCAUGCCUGUUUGAGUGUCAUGAAACUCUCAACCCUCUAGCAUUUCUUAAUCGUGGCUAGCGGUCGUGGACGUGAGCGCUGCUGCUUUGUUUGCGGCUCGCUCGAAAUGCAUUAGCAGACCCUUUUCGUAAUCGGUUCCACUCAACGUGAUAAGUAUUUCGUUGAGGAUAGUUGCAGCAAUGCGGCUGGCCGGAUAAGAAAGGCAUAGUUGUCAGCUUCUAAUCGCCCUUGGGCAAUUUUUUAUGAUCUGGCCUCAAAUCAGGUAGGACUACCCGCUGAACUUAAGCAUAUCAAUAAGCGGAGGAAUCGCGAUCUUGGUCAUUUAGAGGAAGUAAAAGUCGUAAACAAGGUCUCCGUUGGUGAACCAGCGGAGGGAUCAUUACCGAGUUACAACUCCCAAACCCCUGUGAACAUACCUUAAACGUUGCUUCGGCGGACCACCCUCGACUAACCUCGAGGGCCCGCCAGAGGACCCCCAAACCCAACUUUGUGUUUUUUGUCUUACAAACGAACUUCUGAGUGGGUUUUAUAAAUCAAAUCA